AUUGAACGCUGGCGGCGUGCUUAACACAUGCAAGUCGAUCGGUAACAGGUGUAGCAAUACAUGCUGACGAGAGGCGGACGGGUGAGGAACGCUUGGGAAUCUGCCUAUCAGCGGGGGACAACCCGGGGAAACUCGGGCUAAUACCGCAUACGCUCUACGGAGGAAAGCCGGGGACCGCAAGGCCUGGCACUGAUAGAUGAGCCCAAGUCGGAUUAGCUAGUUGGCGGGGUAACGGCCCACCAAGGCGACGAGCCGUAGCUGGUCUGGGAGGACGAUCAGCCACACCGGAACUGAGACACGGUCCGGACUCCUAGGGGAGGCAGCAGUGGGGAAUAUUGGACAAUGGGGGAAACACUGAUCCAGCGACGCCGCGUGGGUGAAGAAGGCCUGCGGUUUGUAAAGCCCUUUCGGUAGGGAAGAAAUCUCUUGCUCUAACAAAGCAGGAGUUUGACUUAACCUACAUAAGAAGCACCGGCUAACUCUGUGCCAGCAGCCGCCGUAAUAC
rnacentral:rRNA from 1 species